rnacentral:rRNA from 1 species
AUGGCGGCGGCGGCGAAGGUGAGCAACAGGAGCGUGAUCCUGAAGCGGCAUGUGACGGGGUUCCCCACCGAGGACGACAUGGAGCUCGUCACGGCGACGGUGCGCCUGGCCGUCCCGCCCGGGUCGGCGGCGGUGAUGGUGAAGAACAUGUACCUCUCCUGCGAUCCCUACAUGCGCAGCCGGAUGACCAACCACAAGGAGCCCAGCUACGUCCCGGACUACGUCCCAGGGGAGAUUAUACCGACUUUCGGUGUCAGCAAGGUGGUGGAAUCCGGGCACCCGGAUUACAAGGCCGGUGAUCUGGUGUGGGGAAUGACAGCAUGUGAAGAAUACACCUUGAUCACUACUCCGGAGUCGCUUUUCAAGAUCAACCAUCCCGAAUUACCGCUGUCGUACUACUUAGGUGUUCUCGGCAUGCCAGGCCUUACUGCAUAUGCUGGAUUUUUCGACGUGGCCAAGCCAAAAAAAGGCGACUAUGUGUUUAUCUCGGCAGCAUCAGGCGCCAUCGGACAACUUGUUGGGCAGCUUGCCAAGAUGACAGGUUGCUACGUAGUUGGCAGUGCCGGUUCUGAUGAGAAGGUCAACCUCCUGAAAACAAAGUUUGGAUUUGACGAUGCCUUCAACUACAAGAAGGAACAGGACCUCAACGCCGCACUAAAGAGGUGCUUCCCAGAGGGCAUUGACAUCUACUUCGACAAUGUGGGUGGUGCAAUAUUAGACGCUGCGCUACUCAACAUGAGGCUGCAUGGGCGGGUGGCCAUGUGCGGGUUGAUUUCGCAAUACAACCUGGAGCUGCAUGAGGGCGUGUGCAACCUUGCCUGCGUCGUUACCAAGCGCGUCCGCAUAGAGGGAUUCAUCGUGACGGAGUACUUCGGCACCUACCGCAAGUUCGAAGAGGAGAUGGUGGGUCACCUCAAGGAAGAGAACAUCACCUACGUGGAGGACGUCGCCGAGGGGAUCGAGAACAUGCCGGCAGCUCUUGUCGGGCUCUUCUACGGGCGCAACAUCGGAAAACAGCUGGUGGCUGUUGCACGGGAUUGA